AGUGUGGCUUCAUUGCUCACAGCUGGGAUGAUGGGCCUGCUCUUUAAAGAAGCCACAUAGCUUUACUGGUACUUCUGGCCUUUGGAGCACUAUUGCUGCUUUGGGGCCCACCAGCUUCUUCUUGGAGACCAGCAGGGGCAGAACCACAUUGCUGGACCCACUGGGUGGCAGGUUUUACAUAUUUCUCCCUAUGUCUUUGUCAGAGAGGCACAAUGCUUGAGACUGUGCUGUCUUCGUUGGAAUGAAUUAUCAAUAAAGCAUGUUCCUGUUUGAACAUCAAUGCAUCGAACCCAGCAUUUAACAGACCACCUCUAAACUGCUUUGAAAACCAUAAGGGGUCAUCAUAACAGCACUUUCCCUCACCGUAACAGCACAAUGCUUUCCCUCACCGUAAAAGCCCAUUAAUUCUCAUUUCUGUGAGAUUUAAAGUAUGAACCUUGCAAGAAACACCUGGAUCUUUAUCUCAAUUCCCUGGCUUUUGGAUUGACCCUUCUGAAAUGAAGAAUUUCAACCAAUUAGCUAACUUUGUAGAAAUGGUAGAGCAGAUACCAGCACUUACCAAGAACUUGGACAUAGGGUUCCCAAUCUCCAGGUGGCAAUAUAAAGCAAAAAAAGUCACACGGACAGGUUUACAAAAAAAGUGCAGACUCUGUGUAAAAAACACCUCUUCUCCGAUGUACAAUGUUCACAAAUGUACAAUAAAGAUACUUUCUUCAAUAA